UGUGAGCUCGAUGAGUAGGGCGGGACACGUGGUAUCCUGUCUGAAUAUGGGGGGACCAUCCUCCAAGGCUAAAUACUCCUGACUGACCGAUAGUGAACCAGUACCGUGAGGGAAAGGCGAAAAGAACCCCGGCGAGGGGAGUGAAAAAGAACCUGAAACCGUGUACGUACAAGCAGUGGGAGCACGCUUAGGCGUGUGACUGCGUACCUUUUGUAUAAUGGGUCAGCGACUUAUAUUCUGUAGCAAGGUUAACCGAAUAGGGGAGCCGAAGGGAAACCGAGUCUUAACUGGGCGUUAAGUUGCAGGGUAUAGACCCGAAACCCGGUGAUCUAGCCAUGGGCAGGUUGAAGGUUGGGUAACACUAACUGGAGGACCGAACCGACUAAUGUUGAAAAAUUAGCGGAUGACUUGUGGCUGGGGGUGAAAGGCCAAUCAAACCGGGAGAUAGCUGGUUCUCCCCGAAAGCUAUUUAGGUAGCGCCUCGUGAAUUCAUCUCCGGGGGUAGAGCACUGUUUCGGCAAGGGGGUCAUCCCGACUUACCAACCCGAUGCAAACUGCGAAUACCGGAGAAUGUUAUCACGGGAGACACACGGCGGGUGCUAACGUCCGUCGUGAAGAGGGAAACAACCCAGACCGCCAGCUAAGGUCCCAAAGUCAUGGUUAAGUGGGAAACGAUGUGGGAAGGCCCAGACAGCCAGGAUGUUGGCUUAGAAGCAGCCAUCAUUUAAAGAAAGCGUAAUAGCUCACUGGUCGAGUCGGCCUGCGCGGAAGAUGUAACGGGGCUAAACCAUGCACCGAAGCUGCGGCAGCGACGCUUAUGCGUUGUUGGGUAGGGGAGCGUUCUGUAAGCCUGUGAAGGUGUACUGUGAGGUAUGCUGGAGGUAUCAGAAGUGCGAAUGCUGACAUAAGUAACGAUAAAGCGGGUGAAAAGCCCGCUCGCCGGAAGACCAAGGGUUCCUGUCCAACGUUAAUCGGGGCAGGGUGAGUCGACCCCUAAGGCGAGGCCGAAAGGCGUAGUCGAUGGGAAACAGGUUAAUAUUCCUGUACUUGGUGUUACUGCGAAGGGGGGACGGAGAAGGCUAUGUUGGCCGGGCGACGGUUGUCCCGGUUUAAGCGUGUAGGCUGGUUUUCCAGGCAAAUCCGGAAAAUCAAGGCUGAGGCGUGAUGACGAGGCACUACGGUGCUGAAGCAACAAAUGCCCUGCUUCCAGGAAAAGCCUCUAAGCAUCAGGUAACAUCAAAUCGUACCCCAAACCGACACAGGUGGUCAGGUAGAGAAUACCAAGGCGCUUGAGAGAACUCGGGUGAAGGAACUAGGCAAAAUGGUGCCGUAACUUCGGGAGAAGGCACGCUGAUAUGUAGGUGAAGCGACUUGCUCGUGGAGCUGAAAUCAGUCGAAGAUACCAGCUGGCUGCAACUGUUUAUUAAAAACACAGCACUGUGCAAACACGAAAGUGGACGUAUACGGUGUGACGCCUGCCCGGUGCCGGAAGGUUAAUUGAUGGGGUCAGCGCAAGCGAAGCUCUUGAUCGAAGCCCCGGUAAACGGCGGCCGUAACUAUAACGGUCCUAAGGUAGCGAAAUUCCUUGUCGGGUAAGUUCCGACCUGCACGAAUGGCGUAAUGAUGGCCAGGCUGUCUCCACCCGAGACUCAGUGAAAUUGAACUCGCUGUGAAGAUGCAGUGUACCCGCGGCAAGACGGAAAGACCCCGUGAACCUUUACUAUAGCUUGACACUGAACAUUGAGCCUUGAUGUGUAGGAUAGGUGGGAGGCUUUGAAGUGUGGACGCCAGUCUGCAUGGAGCCGACCUUGAAAUACCACCCUUUAAUGUUUGAUGUUCUAACGUUGACCCGUAAUCCGGGUUGCGGACAGUGUCUGGUGGGUAGUUUGACUGGGGCGGUCUCCUCCUAAAGAGUAACGGAGGAGCACGAAGGUUGGCUAAUCCUGGUCGGACAUCAGGAGGUUAGUGCAAUGGCAUAAGCCAGCUUGACUGCGAGCGUGACGGCGCGAGCAGGUGCGAAAGCAGGUCAUAGUGAUCCGGUGGUUCUGAAUGGAAGGGCCAUCGCUCAACGGAUAAAAGGUACUCCGGGGAUAACAGGCUGAUACCGCCCAAGAGUUCAUAUCGACGGCGGUGUUUGGCACCUCGAUGUCGGCUCAUCACAUCCUGGGGCUGAAGUAGGUCCCAAGGGUAUGGCUGUUCGCCAUUUAAAGUGGUACGCGAGCUGGGUUUAGAACGUCGUGAGACAGUUCGGUCCCUAUCUGCCGUGGGCGCUGGAGAACUGAGGGGGGCUGCUCCUAGUACGAGAGGACCGGAGUGGACGCAUCACUGGUGUUCGGGUUGUCAUGCCAAUGGCACUGCCCGGUAGCUAAAUGCGGAAGAGAUAAGUGCUGAAAGCAUCUAAGCACGAAACUUGCCCCGAGAUGAGUUCUCCCUGACUCCUUGAGAGUCCUGAAGGAACGUUGAAGACGACGACGUUGAUAGGCCGGGUGUGUAAGCGCAGCGAUGCGUUGAGCUAACCGGUACUAAUGAACCGUGAGGCUUAACCUUACAACGCCGAAG
rnacentral:rRNA from 1 species